CUUAGUACAAUGGUUGCUGAACAGGUUGAACAAGCACAAGCUAGUCUUGAAUCGCUUUCUUUUUCUCAGAAGACCAUAAAUUAGCUCCUAGAGAACUUCAUUUCUAUUGAAAAGCUAUGCACAGAAUGCCAAACUUUAAUUUAAAAUCAUGAUCAGAUAAAGAUUUCUUAGUAAUGCAAUGAAUAACCUAAACACUACUUUGAAGGUGGAUGCUUCUCUUUUUUAAUUG